UUGACAGAUUAUUGUAUUCGACUGUAUUCACGACGUGAAAUAGGGGAUUACACUGUUUUUAAAAUGGAAAGUGAAUCAAUUAACAUAAUAGACUCCU
rnacentral:pre_miRNA from 1 species